rnacentral:rRNA from 1 species
GACGAACGCUGGCGGCGUGGAUUAGGCAUGCAAGUCGAACGGUAUCAUCCUUUCGGGGGUGAGAGAGUGGCGAACUGGUGAGUAACACGUAGGUUAUCUACCCUCAAGACGGGGACAACCCAGGGAAACUUGGGCUAAUACCGGAUGUGAGCAACUUUUAGUUGUUUGAAAGGUGGCGUAAGCUGUCGCUUGGGGAUGAGCCUGCGUCCUAUUAGUUAGUUGGUGAGGUAACGGCUCACCUAGGCAAUGAUAGGUAGGCGGCCUUAACGGGUGGUCGCCCACACUGGGAUUGAGAUACGGCCCAGACUCCUACGGGAGGCAGCAGUCGAGAAUAGUCUACAAUGGUCGGAAGACUGAUAGUGCGACGCCGCGUGAACGAUGAAUCCCUUCGGGGUGUAAAGUUCUUUUAUAUGUGAGCAGUGCUUCUUAUAUUAACAGUAUGGGGAAGAGAUAUUAGCAUAUGAAUAAGCAAACGGCUAAACUCCGUGCCAGCAGCCGCGGU